GACGAACGCUGGCGGCGUGCCUAAUACAUGCAAGUAGAACGCUGAAGAGAGGAGCUUGCUCUUCUUGGAUGAGUUGCGAACGGGUGAGUAACGCGUAGGUAACCUGCCUGGUAGCGGGGGAUAACUAUUGGAAACGAUAGCUAAUACCGCAUAAAAUUGAUUAUUGCAUGAUAAUUAAUUGAAAGAUGCAACUGCAUCACUACCAGAUGGACCUGCGUUGUAUUAGCUAGUUGGUGAGGUAACGGCUCACCAAGGCGACGAUACAUAGCCGACCUGAGAGGGUGAUCGGCCACACUGGGACUGAGACACGGCCCAGACUCCUACGGGAGGCAGCAGUAGGGAAUCUGCGGCAAUGGGGGGAACCCUGACCGAGCAACGCCGCGUGAGUGAAGAAGGUUGUCGGAUCGGAAAGCUCUGUUGUAAGAGAAGAACGGGUGUGAGAGUGGAAAGUUCACACUGUGACGGUAUCUUACCAGAAAGGGACGGCUAACUACGUG
rnacentral:rRNA from 1 species